UUUUUUUACACAACAACAAAAGUUGAAGAUUGCGGCACAUAAGUUGCGACGGUUGCCAAGGAACCGCCCCUAUUUCAUUGUUUGCGACAGUUCAUGCGACACUUUCCUACAACCGCCACCUCAAUUUGAAGAGAAACAUGUUUUUCUUUUACCUCGCGCUCCAUUUUCUCUUUCUGAAAUUACCCCGCGUUUUAUUUCACUAUCUGAAAUUGUUCUCGUGCUCGCUCCAAAACUAUUUUCCCCCAAAACUUACAAAUUAUUUCUCCAAAACCUCAUCAACCAAUGAUGCCAACAUCUUAGCUGUGAACAUUCCGGAUUUGAAGGGAAAACCAAAGGAACAAUCUUUCGAACAAGAUUUGCUCGACAUGCUGGAAAAGCUACAACAAUUGCGUCUCGAGAAAGAGAAAACCGAUGAGCUCUUGAAAGCCAAAGACGAGAUCUUGAAACAAAAGGAUGAAGAACUUCAAAAUAGUGGCAAGGAGCAAGAAAACCUUCAGAUUGAGUUUAAGAAAUUACAGAAAUUGAAGGAAUUCAAACCCACCACGAAUUUUCCUAUGGUGAAAGACAAGGAACAAAAAAAGAAGGACAGGAAGGGUGCCCUGACGUGGUAUUUACCUCAUUUCAAUGUAAAUUAUGAAGAUCCUCAUUUCAAUGUUGGUUUGCUUGUAUUUACCAUUCAUGUAAAUUAUGAAGAUCCUCAUUUCAAUGUUGGUUUGCUUGUAUUUACCAUUCAUGGAAAUUAUGACGAUCCGACUGACGUGGUAUGAGUCAUGUGCACCUUUGAUGUUAUAUUUAUUGUUUUUUUGGGGUUUUUUUUUUCUUCCUGUAUGGUGUCAUGUUUGCUUCUGUUUUGCUUUAAGUUCUUUUGUUAUAUAGUCUAAGCAAAAAAUGUUUGACAGGGUGCUAACCAACUUUCUUAGCGGUGGAGUCUUUAUACUAGGAUAUUCUGUUUUGCUUUAAGUUCUUUUGUUAUAUAGUCGGAGCACAAAAUGUUUGACAGGAUGCUAACCAACUUUCUUAUCGGUGGAGUCUUUACACUAGGAUAUAGAAUUUGGCUUCUCUGAGUUACAAGGCAAUUAGUGCAUAAGAGAAGAAGCCUUAUAAAGAGAAAUACCAUGCUGAAAAAUAUGCUUAUUGGCAAGUAAUUACAAAGGAGAAAGAGAAACUUGAGACUGAGGCAAUAAAGCUCUUGGAUGAGGAGCAGAAGCAAAAGACUGCUAUGGAAUUGCUUGAACAAUAUAUACAAUUCAAACAUGAGACAUAAAAGAAGAGCAACAAGACCAAGAAAGAGAAGGAUCCAUUGAAACCAAAGCAUCCUAUGUCAGCUUAUUUCUUGUAUACUAAUGAUAGGAGAGUUUCUAUUCUUGCAGAGAACAAAGGUGUCUUAGAGGUUUCUACUGUCACAUUUGAAGAGUGGAAAAACAUGACAGAAAAACAAAAGAGACCCUAUGAAGAGAUGGCACAUAAAAAAGAAGAGGAAGCUGCAAAUCCCAUGAAGGAAGAGAAAGAGCAUAUGAAAUUUCAGAAACAUGAAACCUUGCAAUUGCUCAAGAAAAAUUAAAAAAUUGAAAACAUGAUCAAGGAAACAAAAUUGAAUCGUUAGAAGAACAAAAUUUUCAUGAAAUCCUCAACUUUUUUCCUUUUAUCAUCAUCAAUCAUACUCACGGAAACACAUAGGAUUGUCAAGAGGUAGAAGACGUUCUUCUAAGUCUAGUUGUUGGUCUAAUGAUGGAACAACAUCAUUAAGGAUUAUCUGGAUGCUCUAUGAACUAAGUUUGAUGUUGUUGUUUUGCAUUUUCAAUCACUCUAUUAAUGUUUUGGUUUUUUAAUAUUUAAACUAAUUUACUUAUUGUUUUGAUUAAUUUCAAUGUAUGGUUGUUACUUUUGAAUA